rnacentral:rRNA from 1 species
AAUAUUGCGCCAUGGGGGGAACCCUGACGCAGCGACGCCGCGUGAGCGAUGAAGGCCUUCGGGUCAUAAAGCUCUGUCCUCAGGGACGAAGAAAGUGACGGUACCUGAGAAGAAAGCCCCGGUUAACUACGUGCCAGCAGCCGCGGUAAUAAGUAGGGGGCGAGCGUUGUCCGGAAUUAUUGGGCGUAAAGGGUGCGUAGGCGGCUUCUUAAAUCAGAUGUGAAAGACCACAGCUUAACUGUGGGGUUGCAUUUGAAACUGGGGAGCUUGAGAUUCGGAGAGGGUAGUGGAAUACCCGGUGUAGCGGUGAAAUGCGUAGAUAUCGGGAGGAACACCAGUGGCGAAGGCGACUACCUGGACGACAACUGACGCUGAGGCACGAAAGCUAGGGGAGCAAAC